UACGAAGGGUGCGAGCGUUGUUCGGAAUUACUGGGCGUAAAGGGUUUGUAGGCUGAAAUGUAAGUCAAGUGUGAAAUCCCCCGAGCUAAACUUGGGACGUGCAUUUGAAACUGUGUUUCUUGAGUAUCGUAGAGGGUGGUGGAAUUGUAGGUGUAGGAGUGACAUCCGUAGAGAUCUGCAGGAACAUCAGAGGCGAAGGCGACCACCUGGCCGAUUACUGACGCUGAGGAA
rnacentral:rRNA from 1 species